rnacentral:rRNA from 1 species
UACGUAGGGAGCAAGCGUUGUUCGGAUUUACUGGGCGUAAAGGGCGCGUAGGCGGCGCGGUAAGUCACUUGUGAAAUCUCUGAGCUUAACUCAGAACGGCCAAGUGAUACUGCAGUGCUAGAGUGCAGAAAGGGCAAUCGGAAUUCUUGGUGUAGCGGUGAAAUGCGUAGAUAUCAAGAGGAACACCUGAGGCGAAGGCGGGUUGCUAGGCUGACACUGACGCUGAGUGCGCGAAAGCCAGGGGAGCAGACGGG